AAAGCACUUUGCUCAUGCUCCCAGUUCAGUGCUGCCUACGUUAGACUUGACUGAACAGCGAUUCUCAGAAUGCCAUCUAGAAUUUCGUACCAAUCCAGCAGCUCCGGCAGCAGGGGUUCAGGAUUCCGAGGCCUGUCAGCUGGGUACGGGCUGGGGGCUGGUAGUGGGCUGUCAGCUAGUAUGUCCCGUAUGAGCCUAGGUGGAGGUGGCGGAUUGGCAGCAGGUGGCCUGGGUAUAGGAGGUAGCAUUGGAAUGGGAGCAGGUGGCCUUGGCAUGGGCAGUGGAUAUGGGCUUGGUGGUGCUGGCUUUGGGAUUGGUGGGUCUGGCAUGGGUGUGGGCUAUGGUCUUGGUAUGGGAACAGCAAAUAUGGGCAUUGGCAUGGGUUCUGCUGGCGCAUUGUUGCCUAGCCCAGCUUUUGCCAUGGGCCGCACGCUGACAGCAGGGGGAUUGAGCCUAGGCUCUGCCCUGUCUGCUGGGUCUUCCAUGCACGCCCUUCCUCGUCCAAUACCAACCAGGGCAUCUGAGAAGCACACCCUGUCCAGCCUGAACGAUCGCUUCUCCAAUUACAUUGACAAGGUGCGAUUCUUACAAAAUGAGAACGCCAGCCUGGAGGCCCAGUUGAAUCAGUUGACUGGGGGGGCCUCUGUGGCACCUGAUUCCUCUGUUAACGUCAACUACGAUACCCAGCUUAAAGAGCUCAGGACCACCAUGGAGACCCUCACCUUGGAAAACAUCAAAUUUGAGAUUCAGCUGGACAAUAUUAGGGGAACCGCAGAGGAACUGAAAGCCAAGUAUGAUUUUGAAAUGGGAGUGAAAUAUCAGCUGGAGGCGGACAUUGCAGCCAUGAAAAGGGAUAUCGAAACCGCUUCAGACCUUCGCAUUGAUCUGGAGUCCAAAUAUCAAAGUCUUUCUACUGAACUUGAUUUUGUCACCAAAACACAUGAAGAGGAAUUGGCAAGCUUGCAGGUUAAACUGGGUUCCACCACCAGCGACACCUCAUCUGUGUCCAUGAUUGAGGUAGAUACAGUCAAAUCAUUUGACCUCUCAACGGCACUGAGUAAGAUGAGAGCAGAGUACGAGAAAUCUGUCCAGCAACACAGAGAAGAGGCAGAAAGUUACUUCAAACUCAAGAUGGAUGAAAUUCAAAGUGUGACAGUCAAGAGCACAGAGGCCAUUUCAGCAGCCAAGGUUGAAGUCUCAGUAGCACGAAAAGAGUUACAGACGUUGAAUUUGGAACUACAGUCUCUUCUCGCCGUGAAUUUCUCAUUAGAACAAAGCCUGGCAGAAGCACACGCACAAAGCAGUGUCGGGGUGGCUGAAUACCAAGCUCAAAUCACAAGCCUGGAGUCGGCCAUCGAAGUAGCAAAGGUGGACCUCCACAAACAGAUCCUGUCCUACCAGGAGCUUCUCGAUGUCAAACUAGCUCUCGAUGGGGAGAUAUCCACAUACAGGAAGCUGUUGGAAGGAGAUGACUUGAAACUUCCAGACAUUGAAGUUUACUCAGGAACAUACAGUUUUUCAGGAUGGAAUGCCCCUCACUCCUGCAGCACUCCCCAGCACUCCCCAGAAAAGACAAAAUAAAUACCAGCCAAGUAUCCAAUAGUGGACUGCAAAAGAAAGAAAUGUCAAUCACAGCAGAAGAUACAGAGACUUCUUCAAUCCCUUAAAACCAGCUAAUCAAGCUUCCUCUUCACGAUGCAUUGACCGGUGCCUUGAGUCUGUCAAUUUACAAUGCAGCUUUUCUUUAGAAAUCUAGAAUUCCUUAUCCCUGAAUAAAAUCCCUCUGUCUUGCAUUAUAAAAAGACUGUGUCUUUGUCACUGUACUUUUUUCACAUUGUCAACAGAAAUGAACACUAAAGCUGAUUUAUACUGCAAACUGUAAGAUGGCUCUUGUACCACGAGUCAUUAGUGAACUGGGGACAUUGCAAAGAAAGUCAGUUGAACGUCAUACUCAGAUUUUUGUCAAAAUAAAAGUCCCUAUAACCGA